AGCAGCCGCGGUAAUUCCAGCUCCAAUAGCGUAUAUUAAAGUUGUUGCAGUUAAAAAGCUCGUAGUUGAAUUUCGGGAUCAAUUUGCUGGUCGUGCCUCUGGUACGUACUGGUAUUAUUGGUUUCUUCCUUCCGACGAACCAUGAUGUCAUUAAUUUGAUGUCGUGGAGAAUCAGGACUGUUACUUUGAAAAAAUUAGAGUGUUUAAAGCAGGCAUUAGCUUGAAUACAUUAGCAUGGAAUAAUGAAAUAGGACGUUUGAUCCUAUUUUGUUGGUUUCUAGGAUUGACGUAAUGAUUAAUAGGGAUAGUUGGGGGCAUUAGUAUUCAAUUGUCAGAGGUGAAAUUCUUGGAUUUUAUUGAAGACUAACUACUGCGAAAGCAUUUGCCAAGGAUGUUUUCAUUAAUCAAGAACGAAAGUUAGGGGAUCGAAGACGAUCAGAUACCGUCGUA
rnacentral:rRNA from 1 species